GGAUAGCUCAGUUGGUAGAGCAUGAGACUCUGAAUCUCAGGCACGUGGGUUUGAGCCCCACGUUGGGCA